rnacentral:lncRNA from 1 species
UUCAUUCCCUUCCUUCCAAACUUUUCUCACUCUUCAUUUAAUACAGUAAUCCUAAGAAAUAAAACUUUUCAUUUUUUUUUUAUCUUCUUCACUUACUCAUACUCUUCAUUUAAUACAGUAAUCCUAACAAAUAAAACUUUUCAUUUUUUUUUUAUCUUCUUCACUUACUCAUUCCUGUUACUCAAAAAUGAAGGAAAACUCUGAUAUUGCAUUCAAAAAUAAAUCUCUC